UGUAUCCUACGGGAGGCAGCAGUGAGGAAUAUUGGUCAAUGGGCGAGAGCCUGAACCAGCCAAGUCGCGUGAGGGAAGACGGUCCUAUGGAUUGUAAACCUCUUUUGUCAGGGAGCAACGCCGGCUACGUGUAGCCGGACUGAGAGUACCUGAAGAAAAAGCAUCGGCUAACUCCGUGCCAGCAGCCGCGGUAAUACGGAGGAUGCGAGCGUUAUCCGGAUUUAUUGGGUUUAAAGGGUGCGUAGUCGGAAUGCCAAGUCAGCGGUAAAAUCGCGGGUCUCAACCU
rnacentral:rRNA from 1 species